GUACUCACUUUGACAGCACACAUACUAAAGUUAGAACUACACAUAAGGAAAUGUUAGCAUGGCCCCUGUGCAAGGAUGGCAUGCACAUUUGUAAUGCGAUACACAUUUUA
ensembl:snRNA U6 U6 spliceosomal RNA